GACAGAGGGUGCAAACGUUGCUCGGAAUUACUGGGCGUAAAGCGCGUGUAGGCGGAUCGGCAAGUCAGGUGUGAAAUCCCCGGGCUCAACCCGAGGAACUGCACUUGAAACUGCCGGUCUUGAGUAAUGGGAGAGGAUCGCGGAAUUCCUGGUGUAGAGGUGAAAUUCGUAGAUAUCAGGAGGAACACCGGUGGCGAAGGCGGGAUCCUGGGCCAGUACUGACGCUGAGGUGCGAAAGCGUGGGGAGCAAACAGG
rnacentral:rRNA from 1 species